rnacentral:rRNA from 1 species
GAUGAACGCUGGCGGCGUGCCUAAUACAUGCAAGUCGAGCGAACGGACGAGAAGCUUGCUUCUCUGAUGUUAGCGGCGGACGGGUGAGUAACACGUGGAUAACCUACCUAUAAGACUGGGAUAACUUCGGGAAACCGGAGCUAAUACCGGAUGAUAUUUUGAACCGCAUGGUUCAAAAGUGAAAGACGGUCUUGCUGUCACUUAUAGAUGGAUCCGCGCUGCAUUAGCUAGUUGGUAAGGUAAUGGCUUACCAAGGCAACGAUGCAUAGCCGACCUGAGAGGGUGAUCGGCCACACUGGAACUGAGACACGGUCCAGACCCCUACGGGAGGCAGCAGUAGGGAAUCUUCCGCAAUGGGCGAAAGCCUGACGGAGCAACGCCGCGUGAGUGAUGAAGGUCUUCGGAUCGUAAAACUCUGUUAUUAGGGAAGAACAUAUGUGUAAGUAACUGUGCACAUCUUGACGGUACCUAAUCAGAAAGCCACGGCUAACUACGUG